AUUGAACGCUGGCGGCAGGCUUAACACAUGCAAGUCGAGCGGGGGAAGGUAGCUUGCCACUGGACCUAGCGGCGGACGGGUGAGUAAUGCUUAGGAAUCUGCCUAUUAGUGGGGGACAACAUCUCGAAAGGGAUGCUAAUACCGCAUACGUCCUACGGGAGAAAGCAGGGGAUCUUCGGACCUUGCGCUAAUAGAUGAGCCUAAGUCGGAUUAGCUAGUUGGUGGGGUAAAGGCCUACCAAGGCGACGAUCUGUAGCGGGUCUGAGAGGAUGAUCCGCCACACUGGGACUGGGACACGGCCCAGACUCCUACGGGAGGCAGCAGUGGGGAAUAUUGGACAAUGGGGGGAACCCUGAUCCAGCCAUGCCGCGUGUGUGAAGAAGGCCUUAUGGUUGUAAAGCACUUUAAGCGAGGAGGAGGCUACUUUAGUUAAUACCUAGAGAUUGUGGACGUUACUCGCAGAAUAAGCACCGGCUAACUCUGUGCCAGCCGCCGCGGUAA
rnacentral:rRNA from 1 species